UCUCUCUCUCUCUCUCUCUCUCUCAAAACUAAAUAAACGUUUAAAAAAAGUUUAAGUAAAUACAUAAACAUUAAAAAAAAUUUAAAAGACCAAAAGGGGUCCUAAGACUAGAAAGGUUGAGAACUGUGAGAAGUAAGUCUCUCUCCCAUACCUAUCCCCCUAGGUACACAAUUCCCCUCACCAGAGGCAGCCUUCGUUACCAGUUUCCUGUGUAUUGCAUGCAUAUACGUAAAAUAAAUAUUAUGUAAGACAUAUUAUUUUUAUUUUUACAAAUGGUAGUAUGUUAUGCACAUUGAGAAUUUUGAAAUAAGAAAAAGUGAUCAUUAUUUCAUCACACUUUCCAACUCUUCCCUCUAGAAGAGCCCUUGGAGCAUGCUGUGUUUACUAUCCCAGCUGUUACUGAGGCAUUCAAUGACACCCACUUUUCUUUGGUUGUUCACCUGCCAAUGACAGGGCCUGGACUGAGAGCAUGCUCUUCCAGAUGUGGCACGUGCUUCUGGCAGGUGUCCAAGGAUGCACCAUUAUGUGACUCAUGCUGAGAAAAGAUGAAGUUGGCUCGUGUCAAAGGUAUAGAAAAGGCUGCAUGAGCGGGGAUGUGUAGAACUGGAACUGGAGGAUUAGCUCAGCGUGUUUCCGACGUGUGGG